ACUUAAAUUGAAGAGUUUGAUCAUGGCUCAGAUUGAACGCUGGCGGCAGGCCUAACACAUGCAAGUCGAACGGUAGCACAGAGAGCUUGCUCUCGGGUGACGAGUGGCGGACGGGUGAGUAAUGUCUGGGAAACUGCCUGAUGGAGGGGGAUAACUACUGGAAACGGUAGCUAAUACCGCAUAACGUCGCAAGACCAAAGAGGGGGACCUUCGGGCCUCUUGCCAUCAGAUGUGCCCAGAUGGGAUUAGCUAGUAGGUGGGGUAACGGCUCACCUAGGCGACGAUCCCUAGCUGGUCUGAGAGGAUGACCAGCCACACUGGAACUGAGACACGGUCCAGACUCCUACGGGAGGCAGCAGUGGGGAAUAUUGCACAAUGGGCGCAAGCCUGAUGCAGCCAUGCCGCGUGUAUGAAGAAGGCCUUCGGGUUGUAAAGUACUUUCAGCGAGGAGGAAGGCAUUAAGGUUAAUAACCUUGGUGAUUGACGUUACUCGCAGAAGAAGCACCGGCUAACUCCGUGCCAGCAGCCGCGGUAAUACGGAGGGUGCAAGCGUUAAUCGGAAUUACUGGGCGUAAAGCGCACGCAGGCGGUCUGUCAAGUCGGAUGUGAAAUCCCCGGGCUCAACCUGGGAACUGCAUUCGAAACUGGCAGGCUAGAGUCUUGUAGAGGGGGGUAGAAUUCCAGGUGUAGCGGUGAAAUGCGUAGAGAUCUGGAGGAAUACCGGUGGCGAAGGCGGCCCCCUGGACAAAGACUGACGCUCAGGUGCGAAAGCGUGGGGAGCAAACAGGAUUAGAUACCCUGGUAGUCCACGCCGUAAACGAUGUCGACUUGGAGGUUGUUCCCUUGAGGAGUGGCUUCCGGAGCUAACGCGUUAAGUCGACCGCCUGGGGAGUACGGCCGCAAGGUUAAAACUCAAAUGAAUUGACGGGGGCCCGCACAAGCGGUGGAGCAUGUGGUUUAAUUCGAUGCAACGCGAAGAACCUUACCUACUCUUGACAUCCAGAGAACUUAGCAGAGAUGCUUUGGUGCCUUCGGGAACUCUGAGACAGGUGCUGCAUGGCUGUCGUCAGCUCGUGUUGUGAAAUGUUGGGUUAAGUCCCGCAACGAGCGCAACCCUUAUCCUUUGUUGCCAGCGGUCCGGCCGGGAACUCAAAGGAGACUGCCAGUGAUAAACUGGAGGAAGGUGGGGAUGACGUCAAGUCAUCAUGGCCCUUACGAGUAGGGCUACACACGUGCUACAAUGGCAUAUACAAAGAGAAGCGACCUCGCGAGAGCAAGCGGACCUCAUAAAGUAUGUCGUAGUCCGGAUUGGAGUCUGCAACUCGACUCCAUGAAGUCGGAAUCGCUAGUAAUCGUAGAUCAGAAUGCUACGGUGAAUACGUUCCCGGGCCUUGUACACACCGCCCGUCACACCAUGGGAGUGGGUUGCAAAAGAAGUAGGUAGCUUAACCUUCGGGAGGGCGCUUACCACUUUGUGAUUCAUGACUGGGGUGAAGUCGUAACAAGGUAACCGUAGGGGAACCUGCGGUUGGAUCACCUCCUUACCUGAAAGAA
rnacentral:rRNA from 1 species